ACUCAAAGGAAUUGACGGGGGCCCGCACAAGCGGUGGAUCAUGUGGUUUAAUUCGAAGCAACGCGAAGAACCUUACCUAGGUUUGACAUCCUAUGGACUGCCUGCGAAAUCAGGCUUCGGUAGCAAUACCGCUGUAGGACCGGUGCUGCAUGGCUGUCGUCAGCUCGUGUGGUGACAUGUUGGGUUAAGUCCCGCAACGAGCGCAACCCCUGUCCUUAGUUGCCUACAUUUAGUUGGGAACUCUAAGGAGACUGCCGUGGUAACACGGAGGAAGGUGGGGAUGACGUCAAGUCCUCAUGGCCCUUAUGCCUAGGGCGACACACGUGAUACAAUGGCCGGUACAGAGGGCUGCGAAAGAGCGAUCUGGAGCCAAUCCCAAAAAGCCGGUCUCAGUUCGGAUUGGAGUCUGCAACUCGACUCCAUGAAGCUGGAAUCGCUAGUAAUCGCGGAUCAGCACGCCGCGGUGAAUACGUUCCCGGGCCUUGCACACACCGCCCGU
rnacentral:rRNA from 1 species